rnacentral:misc_RNA from 1 species
UGUUCUGAAUUGCUCUUGUCA